rnacentral:rRNA from 1 species
GAGUUUGAUCAUGGCUCAGGACGAACGCUGGCUGCGUGCUUAACACAUGCAAAUCGAACGCUGAAGCCUGGUGCUUGCACCGGGUGGAUGAGUGGCGAACGGGUGAGUAACACGUGAGUAACCUGCCCCCGACUUCGGGAUAAGCCCGGGAAACUGGGUCUAAUACCGGAUAUGAGCGUUCCUCGCAUGAGGGAUGCUGGAAAGUCUUUUCGGUUGGGGAUGGGCUCGCGGCCUAUCAGUUUGUUGGUGAGGUAAUGGCUCACCAAGACGACGACGGGUAGCCGGCCUGAGAGGGCGACCGGCCACACUGGGACUGAGACACGGCCCAGACUCCUACGGGAGGCAGCAGUGGGGAAUAUUGCACAAUGGGGGAAACCCUGAUGCAGCGACGCAGCGUGCGGGAUGACGGCCUUCGGGUUGUAAACCGCUUUCAGCAGGGAAGAAGCCCCUUGGGGUGACGGUACCUGCAGAAGAAGUACCGGCUAACUACGUGCCAGCAGCCCGCGGUAAUACGUAGGGUACAAGCGUUGUCCGGAAUUAUUGGGCGUAAAGAGCUCGUAGGGUGG